GGGCGUCCGAAUUGGGCCCAACUUGCAACACAAUGUUGCGGUUGGUGGCGAGGCAGGUACUGGAGAGGCUGAUCUGUGAGUGUAUUGUCAGCGGGAGCCUGGAUGUUGAUGGCGACGACGAUAGGGCCUUCAAAUUUCGCCCAUUUGGCAGGAAUUGGAUGGCAAAAUUGACGAGGCACCUGCUGGAGAGGCAUCUCUAUCGGAGGCGUGGCAGGUACAUAUGUUUUGUGUGAUUUUAAUGGUUUGACUGGCUCAGGGCACUUUAGAGUGACCUGAAGCUUUAUUUAUUAAUGUUCUUAUUACUAUUGGCAACAUAUAACAUUAUUUAUGGAAACAUUUAACAUUUUUUUAACAUUUAGGUAUUUUUUUUUACUUUACGGUAACAUUGAUAAUAACAGACAGAAAAAUACUAGACAGUUAUCAAUUUGCUCUUGUAAACAAAAGGUAAGUUAAGAUCGGCUUGUGUUUUCUUUUUUCUGGCUUAGGCAUAAAAAUUUUGUGACGCCGCUCCUGGACCCCUCAUCCGGUGCGAAACGGAGGUAUGGACGACAGGGAGACCUCCAAGCAUCGGCAACGCAAGCGCGGCAUCGCCUCGUCCCUCUUUUCCUGGCCGAAUCCAACCGAUGCAGCUCUAAGAAGAACGGCGGCGCAUAUGCUUCUUUCUGUGGAUGAUAUGAAACUCCUGGCUGAUUUUAAUAUUGUUUUAUUUUCAGGUUUAUGUUUUGUAGGUUUGGUGAUCAAGUGUCAGGAAUCCAGUUAGGUUCGAUUGGUCCAUUGGGAGGUUUGCGUUGAGUUUGGUAAGUAAGUCUAUUUGUGCUUUUCCUUUGGUUAAUUUUAGCUACAUUUUAUUUGCAGGCUAAAUUAAUUUAUUUAGAGGUUUGCGUUGAAUUUGGUAAGUCAGUUUAUUUCUGU